rnacentral:ncRNA from 1 species
CCAAUAUAAAGGCAGCGACGCAAAGCCACGGAUCAUCGGCCCGGAAUGGGAAAUGACCGCCGGGCCGCCCAG